UGACUGGUGUGAUUCGGGAAUUUUUUGAGGUGUUUUUAUGUCUUUUUCUUGAUUUUUAUAUUUUUCGAAAGUUUACGAAUUUGAAUUUUUGAUAAUUUUUGAGUAGUCACGAAAAUUAGCCAUACGGCGGUGAAUUCAUUCCCGAGCCUUGUACACACCGUCCGUCACACUAUGGGAGCUGGCCAUGCCCGAAGUCGUUACCUUAACCGCAAGGAGGGGGAUGUCGAAGGCAAGGCUAGUGACUGGAGUGAAGUGGCCGGGGAAAGUUUAUUGGCAAGAGAGAACCAUUUCU
rnacentral:ncRNA from 1 species